rnacentral:lncRNA from 1 species
AAACCCACACAAACUAAUCAUCGCCCACCACCCUCCAACGAUCACCAACCAAAACCCCUCCACACGCCCGCCCGCGCGCGCCACGGACGCAGCAAUGGCCGCCCUCGCCGCCUCCAUCGCCACCUCCACGGCGUUCGCCGCGAAGCCGCGCCUGUCCCGCCCGCCGGCGCGCCUCUCCGUCUCCUGCUCCGCGUCCAGCGGCGACAACAACAACAGCACCGCCACCCCCUCGCUCUCCGCCUCCAUCAAGACCUUCUCGGCCGCGCUGGCGCUCUCCUCCGUGCUCCUCUCCUCCGCCGCCACCUCCCCGCCCCCCGCGGCUGCCGACAUCGCCGGCCUGACCCCGUGCAAGGAGUCCAAGGCCUUCGCCAAGCGGGAGAAGCAGUCGGUCAAGAAGCUCAACUCGUCGCUCAAGAAGUACGCGCCCGACUCCGCCCCGGCGCUCGCCAUCCAGGCCACCAUCGACAAGACCAAGCGCCGGUUCGAGAACUACGGCAAGUUCGGCCUGCUCUGCGGCUCCGACGGCCUGCCCCACCUCAUCGUCAGCGGCGACCAGCGGCACUGGGGCGAGUUCAUCACCCCCGGCGUGCUCUUCCUCUACAUCGCCGGCUGGAUCGGCUGGGUCGGACGCAGCUACCUCAUCGCCGUCAGCGGCGAGAAGAAGCCCGCCAUGAGGGAGAUCAUCAUCGACGUCGAGCUCGCCGCCAGGAUCAUCCCCAGGGGCUUCAUCUGGCCCGUCGCCGCAUACCGCGAGCUCAUCAACGGCGACCUCGUCGUCGACGACGCCGACAUCGGCUACUAAGAAGCUGCCAUGCGUGCGUGCGUGCGUGGUUGGCUAGUCGGUCCCAAGUCAGGUGAGCUCUGCAUCCAUGCCUGAAUGUGUUCUGCUCUGUCAUGCCAUGCCAUGGCUCAACUGAUUAACUUGUCUUGCGUUCUUGUUUGCUUUGGCAGAUGGGCAGCGGAGGAUGAGGGCUUGUGGUGUCGAUCUGUGUGGGCUUGGUGUAGGAGCUGAUAGGAUCAUGGAGAAAUGGAACCUCUCUUGUAUUUAAGAAACUGAACCCAAUCUUGUAUAACUAUUGUGUUCUCUCUUCACAUGUGUGUAUUUUACCAUUGUUCAAAUUGUUGAGAACGAUUUUAUUAUGCACAGCAUACUAUGAGUGCAACUGCAUCAACA